GUGCACUGAUAAUCCACAGCAGAUGUGCAGCAAGACAGAAAGUUUUCAACAUGAGAGGAUUUUUACUUUUCCUUUGUUUCUUUGCAUACGUCACUGCAAGUCCAUGCCCAUUUGGACUUCCAGGUUCUUGUUUGCCGCUGGAAGGAGCGAACAAGACAAGCAACUUUACUGACCCACUAGAAACCAACGACACGACCAAAAACUUGGAAGGAAUACGGAUUCCAAUUCAAGGCAAGAUUUAUUUUCCUCCAAAUCCUGAUGAAAACCAGAACCGAGAAAAAUCUGAUCUGGUCUGACUGAAUGUUUUCCAUUCUCAACAAAGUGAAACAUGGACCAGGAAAAUGCUAAAAAAAAGGAAUCCAAGGAGAGGAAUACACGCUCCUAAAUUCAAGCUAUGAGUUUAAAUAAAACAUUGAAGUGUA